rnacentral:rRNA from 1 species
GACGAACGCUGGCGGCGUGCUUAACACAUGCAAGUCGAACGGAAAGGCCCUGCUUUUGUGGGGUGCUCGAGUGGCGAACGGGUGAGUAACACGUGAGUAACCUGCCCUUGACUUUGGGAUAACUUCAGGAAACUGGGGCUAAUACCGGAUAGGAGCUCCUGCUGCAUGGUGGGGGUUGGAAAGUUUCGGCGGUUGGGGAUGGACUCGCGGCUUAUCAGCUUGUUGGUGGGGUAGGGGCUGACCAAGGCUUUGACGGGUAGCCGGCCUGAGAGGGUGACCGGCCACAUUGGGACUGAGAUACGGCCCAGACUCCUACGGGAGGCAGCAGUGGGGAAUAUUGCCCAAUGGGCGGAAGCCUGAUGCAGCAACGCCGCGUGCGGGAUGACGGCCUUCGGGUUGUAAACCGCUUUCGCCUGUGACGAAGCGUGAGUGACGGUAAUGGGUAAAGAAGCACCGGCUAACUACGUG